UACGGAGUGUGCAAGCGUUACUCGGAAUCACUGGGCAUAAAGCGCGCGUAGGCGGGUAUUCAAGUCGGUUGUGAAAUCCCCCAGCUCAACUGGGGAACUGCAUCCGAUACUGUCUGUCUUGAGGACGAGAGGGGAGAGUGGAACUUCUGGUGGAGCGGUGAAAUGCGUAGAUAUCGUAAGGAAGACCAGUGGCGAAGGCGGGUCUCUGGACAGUUCCUGACGCUGAGGCACGAAGGUCAGGGGAGCAAACGGG
rnacentral:rRNA from 1 species